rnacentral:lncRNA from 1 species
UAUAUCUGGACGACGGGUUGUUUUUUGCUUUUGAUUAUUUUCACUUGUGAUGAAAUGCGGUAGAUUUUCUAGGUUUAUAAAUUUUGUAGGAGUUUGUGUCGGUGGGUUUCGGAGGGUAUGGGAUGUGUGAGGGAAAGGGAUGAUUUAGGUCUCAAUGGAAGACCUAGGGGCUUGAAUAAGGGAAUGGGACGGGGGUUGUGUGGGAUAAUUUCUGCUGCAGCAUCACUUGUGUGCUGCAUCCGGUUAUCUAUCGUUUUACUACCAAGAAAUGGAUUAAAAAAAAAAAAACUAUUUACCGUCAUUUGGAGUUUUGGUUCGAUUCGUCCUCGGUGUUACGAUUGGAUUCAUUUUGUUUGUUUUUGCGUUUGCCUAUCCGAUUGCUUUUGAUGUUUGUGAAUUUAUAAGGUUUUUUUAGCUAAAAUGAGAUUUGCAUAACACUCACUUUGGUUCCUGAGAUUGAAAAUCAAUAGAAAUGGUCAUUAGAUUGUCUACCUAAGCUCAAUGGUUGUCGGAUAUAGAUGGAAAAUAGCCUAAAAGAUGACUGGUCCGUGGGAAAAUUGUAAAUUCGUCAGAAACAGAGUAAACGUUUAUAACUUCUUCAAUAUUCAAUGAAAUUGAGUGAUUCAAAAACA